GGUCAAAUCAAAUAUGGCGGCCAAAUGGCCAAUGGAAAAAUAUAAAUGAUCCAAGAUUUGGCCGCUAGUAUGAAACCUCGGUUAUUUUUGAAGACUUAGCCGUUUGGAUGAUGAUGUACACCUAUGGGUGAACAACUAAUUAAAAUUAAAAUUUUCAAAUUCAAUAUGGAUUUAGUGCACAAAAUGUACAAAACUUGCUCAUAAAUGAACAAAGAAUGCUAGAAGGUGACAGUGCUUCUGAGAAACAAAACCAUGUCCAAAGACCUGAAAGAGGAGCUGAAGGAACGAAUUGUGCCGUUAAGAGGCACAUCUUUGAUGAUGUGCAUGGGUUUACUGAUGAGGAUCUGGAAAAGCCUAAUUUCCCACUAAAAUCAUCAUCAGAAAAAAUACCAUUUUACUUGUCAGAUGUUGACAAGCCACCAAUAGUACAGGUUCCAUCUACAAUCAAUCAAUAUCUGCGUGAAUACCAAAAGGAGGGCAUAGCAUUCCUUUAUAGACAGUAUUCCCGUGGGGAAGGUGCUAUUUUAGCUGAUGAUAUGGGCUUGGGAAAAACCGUUCAGGUAAUCGGUUUUAUUUCUGCGGUACUUGGGAAGACAGGAACAAAGAUGGAUAUCUAUGGGAAAUUUCUGUCAGAGAAUGAUAAAAAUAAGGUUUCCCUCUGUAAUCAUGUAAAGAAAGAAAAAGGUUCAUUUCUCAUUGUCUCGCCAAAUUCUGUUCUUUACAACUGGCAUGAUGAGCUGAUGACUUGGGGUUAUUUUAAAAUUGGAAAAUUUCACAAAAGCAAACGAGAUGAGACCUUUCAAAAAGCGCUGUCAGAAAAGUUAGAUGUUGUUUUGACGACGUACGAAACUCUGCGUAAUCAUUGGGAAACUUUGAAUAGAAUAAAGUGGUUGGCGGUAAUUAUGGACGAAGUACACUAUUUGAAGGAUCCGAAAAGAGCUGUUACAAUUGCUUCCAAAUCCUUAAAUAUCAAAUGCAGGAUUGGUCUAACAGGAACACCGUUACAAAACAGAUUGCUAGAUUUCUGGUCAGUUCUCGAUUGGGCCACUCCUGGUUGCCUGGGGGAUAAAGAAGACUUUAUUAAUGACUUCGGUAAACCAAUCAUGCAAGGACAAAGAUUUGAUGGUACGAAGAGAGAACUUGCGACUGGAAGAAAAAAAACCCAGGAGUUCCAGUCACUUAUAGAUCGUUGGUGUUUACGAAGGACAAAGGCUCUUAUUGCAGAUCAACUACCGCAGAAAGAUCAAAAGGUUGUGUUUUGUCCUUUAUCUAAUGUGCAAGAAGAAAUAUACAAAACACUGCUACAAACAAACGAUGUCCAACUAGUAUUGAAGCAAGGUGAACCUUGUGACUGUAGAAGCGAAUUAACUCGUGGAACGUGUUGCUAUGCGGUGAACGAAGAAGGAUCAACCAUGAAGAAGCUUUUAUUGCAAUGCCUAAGACUUUUUCUCAAAAUUUCUAAUCAUGCAGCGUUACUUCUACCUCACGUGAAACAGACGGACGAUCAACGUAAGCGGGCAAAAGCAGUUUGCGAGAAAGUGUUUGCAGUUCAUCCAGAGUUUGAGAGGGCGAGUAAAUCUCCGUCUUUCGAGUUGUUUUCUGACAGCAAUUUUUGUGGAAAGAUGAAAGUUUUGGACAAAUUGUUAAAAUUGUUUCAACAAGAAAAGGAUAAGGUGUUACUAUUUUCAUAUUCUACGCAAUUACUAGAUAUGCUGGAGGCUUACGUCAUAAGUUGUGGUAUGGUUUAUCGACGUUUGGAUGGCAAGACGCGCGGAGAACGAAGACUUGAUGUCGUGAGAGAAUUCAACACAAACGCAAAUGUCUUUUUGUUUCUUGUUUCAACUAAAGCUGGCGGUGUUGGUCUGAAUUUGACCAGUGCAAAUAUUGUCAUCGUAUUUGACCCAAGUUGGAACCCCGCUGAUGAUCUGCAGGCUGAAGACAGAGCUUAUCGUAUUGGUCAGAGACGUGACGUCAAGGUAUUUCGUUUGAUCUCAACUGGAACUGUGGAGGAAAAUAUGUAUUUACGUCAGAUUUAUAAACAGCAAUUGGCGAAUGUUGCCGUAGAAGGCAACAAUGAGCGACGUUAUUUCACUGCAGUCGACGGUGUAAAGAACAGAAAAGGAGAGUUGUUUGGAAUUGAAAACCUCUUCACACUCAGGAUUCACGGCUGCUCUGUCUCAACUGACAUUUUUAAGAGAUCUGAUAAAAUCGAGCGGGGUUUUCGUAUGGCGCAAUACGAGCUACUUCCCAAUGUUGACAUGGAAAAGAAAAUGAUUAGUGAGCAGUCGAUAAUUCCUUUAGCUCAAUGCAAGGAACCAGAAGAUGAAAAUGAUAGUUAUAAUUUGGAUGAAAUAACUUCACAGUUUAUUGAAGAUGAUGCAACAAACAUAGAUUGUUUGCAAGACAAUCCUGCAGAACACGAUUUACGUAGCGAGGUACUUUCACAACAUGACAAUGAUGAGAAACACAAUGAUGAAAAACAAAAGAUGAAAUUCACUAAAGUGUUGGAGGAGAAACGUGAAAAAGUUAUCAUCACACCAUUACACGAUGACGACAAAAAGAAAAGAAAAAAUAUCAGGAAGAGUGCAAGUCCUUCCAAGAAAAGACCGAUAUCUAAAGAUAGCCUAGUUAAUCAGAUACUAGGUAACAGGAUUGUGGCGUCCGGCAUACACAUAGCAAUAAGAUCAUCAUUGGUUCAAGUGAAGCUGAAAAUGCAAUGACGUCACGAGCGAUGAAAGAAGUGUUUGAUCUUGGCCAAUGUUCCCAACAACCUGCCAACUGUUUUGCUGCUAUUGAGAGUGAUGGCGAUGAAAGUGAUGAUAUUGGUGAACCUGCGGACAGAAAAUCUUCCAAGACAGAAGAAAAUUUUGACUUCCAGAAAACGGAG
rnacentral:misc_RNA from 1 species